rnacentral:rRNA from 1 species
CCUACGGGGGGCAGCAGUGAGGAAUAGUGGUCAAUGGACGAGAGUCUGAACCAGCCAAGUAGCGUGAAGGAUGACUGCCCUAUGGGUGGUAAACUGCUUUUAUAUGGGAAUAAAAUGUGCCACGUGUGGGAUGUUGUAUGGACCAUAUGAAUAAGGAUCGGCUAACUCCGUGCCAGCAGCCUCGGUAAUACGGAGCUUCCGAGCGUUAUCCGGAUUUAUUGGGGUUAAAGGGAGCGUAGGGGGAUUGUUAAGUCAGUUGUGAAAGUUUGCGGCUCAACCGUAAAAUUGCAGUUGAAACUGGCAGUCUUGAGUACAGUAGAGGUGGGCGGAAUUCGUGGUGUAGCGG